rnacentral:misc_RNA from 1 species
GCCGCCGCUCAGGAAAACCUGCCAAAUACCGCAACAUAAGCUGGCAAAGUAGUGCACCCAACCAAGGGGGAAAGCAACGGCCCAACAUCACACGAAACUCCUCUCUCUACUUCACCUUUCCCCCCUUAAAUCAUCUGAUUCCAACAAAAACUCCACCAUUCCUCCAAAUUUCUCAAAUUCCAAAACCAAAGGCUUCGCAUUUGUACCCAUUUCCGGCUCAACGAGGAUCAGCUACUUCAUGGAUCCUAGGGUUUCCUCAGAUUAGAGCUGGUUCUUGGUUCCACGAAGCAUAUUUCGAUUCUCGAAGCGACCAAUUUUCAGUGUCGUAUAUUCGUGCGCAACACUACAAGAAAAACCCUAUCUGGAUUUUAAUUUUUACCCAACUUAUAAAUAAACAGAAUACAAUCACGUGCCUGCCUUUUGUUUUCAUUCACCUUGGAAUCCUAUUAAAUUUUCUCUCCUGCUAGAUCCAAUGGCGAUUCUGGGUGACGCUUUGCGUCAAGCUUUCAUGCCUAAGCACGAGUACGAGAGCCUUCGCGAGGAAGACAAAGCAUGGGUUAAGCUUCAAAGGCCAGUGUUAAUGGGAAUUGUGGCUGUCAUUUGCUUGAUGAUUCUCAUAUGCGCUGUUGUGAGCUUGAAGAUUGUGUUUCCUGGUGACAGUGGGAAGAGGCCUUUUUGCAGUGACCGGAGACUCCAGCCUCUUCCUAUAAAUGUGAAGGGAGGUGAUUCCGAUCUGUUUCCUGGUGCGUUUUAUCUCACAGAUCAGGAGACCGUUGAUUAUUACUGGAUGGUUGUGUUUGUUCCCUCGAUGAUUAUUUUCUUGGCAUCAGUUGCCUAUCUUGGAGCUGGGAUAACUGUUGCAUAUUCUGCUCCAGCAAGACAUGGAUGCUUAAAGGUGGUUGAAAAUAAUUACUGUGCUUCAAAAAGGGGUGGAGCACGUUGUCUGUCAAUUUUGAAUAUUGUCUUCGCUGUCAUCUUUGGUCUUCUUGCACUCUUUCUUGGUUCAAGCCUCCUGACACUAGGGAGUAGUUGUUCCUUACCUUUGUUUUGGUGCUAUGAGAUUGCCACAUGGGGACUAGUCAUUUUAUACGCGGGAACUGCCUUCUUUUUGAGAAGGAAAGCUGCUGUAAUUCUUGAUGAGAGUGAUUUUAGUGGCCAAAAUCUUGGUCUGGAAAUGUUGGAAGCAAACACUUUGGAAGUCACACCAGAGGUCGAAAGACGUGUUAAUGAAGGUUUCAAGGCAUGGAUGGGAUCAUCCCUUCUAUCAUCUGACGAUGAAGAUGAACCAGACAAUUACUUGGAAACGCCUUAUCCGAGCCGAACUACUUCUAGCAGGCAGAAGGUAUGAUAUUGAGAUCAAGCAACUCUGGUACGUAGGCAGCCUCGGGUUUCGUAAGGGGAAAAGUCUACAAUGAAUGGAUCUCAAUUUUGGAUCAUCAAAAAGCCCAAUUUGUUACUGCUUUUGCUGAUGCUAUAUGUGAGAUGAACGACUGAUAUUAGGACUUGGAUGAUGUCCAUUUCACUGUAAUGCUUUGCUGCACUUCUUCCUUUAGGUAAUCAUCAUAGGGUGUAAAUAAUUUCACAACAAUAUCUUUUUGUGUUGUAACCCAAAGGCUCUGGAAAAAAAGCAUUUAUAACUCGAGUGAAUGAUAAUUGUCAGUAUGCUGCGC